UACGUAGGUGGCAAGCGUUGUCCGGAAUUAUUGGGCGUAAAGCGCGCGCAGGCGGUCCUUUAAGUCUGAUGUGAAAGCCCACGGCUCAACCGUGGAGGGUCAUUGGAAACUGGAGGACUUGAGUACAGAAGAGGAGAGCGGAAUUCCACGUGUAGCGGUGAAAUGCGUAGAGAUGUGGAGGAACACCAGUGGCGAAGGCGGCUUUCUGGUCUGUAACUGGCGCUGAGGCGCGAAAGCGUGGGGAGCAAACAGG
rnacentral:rRNA from 1 species